rnacentral:tRNA from 1 species
UCCUUGCUGGCUCAGAUGGUAAAGAAUCUGCCUGCAAUGUAGGAGACCCAGGUUUGAUCCCUGGGUCAGGAA